CAAGCCAAUGUGAAGAAGAAGAGGGUCCCCUGCCAAUGGAGCGACAGUCGGGGUUAGUAUUGAAUCAUGAUGUUGAGCUCUUGAAUCGAAUCUCUUUUUUGCUACUUCUAUAAUUAAUAAAAUAUUCAAAAAUGUAGAAAUGAGUUUAGCCAAGUUGGCUAGUGGAUGUGCUUCCCACUCUGCACUGACUUCGAAUUCCCCCACUCUUAGGUUUAUAUCAGUUCAAAGUAGAUUAUCGCUUGUAUAUAUUUUUUUAAAAAAAUAAAUUUUUUUUUUUCAAAAGUAAUUGAUCAUUUGUUUUCCUUUUUUGUUCUUCCCAUAUAAAAUUGCUCUAAAAGGAAAUAUUUGUAAGUUUACUCGUUAUCAUUUACUGAGCGAUUAUAUAUUUUGAAGUGGAUAUUUUAGGUUAUUCUUACAUAAAAAUUUUCUAGAUUCAUAAUUGUUUGGUUAUCCUAAAUGUGAAGAAAAAUGUUGUUCGAUAAAUAAAAUUGAAAAGAAGAUGCGGGUAAUCAAAUAACUAAAUAAUUUUCGAUUCUGCUCAUUUUUUAUAUGUUAAGUAAUUCUUGAAAGAGAACUUAAAAAUUGAAUGGUUUCGAUGCUCGAUUUACAGCCCAUAAAUAGGGUUUCCUUGUUUUCAUUUCCCUUGAAAGUGUUCAGCUCUACCUAUGGUUACUGUGUCAUACCAAUUUCCAAACUGUUGUUAUUUAUAUUAAUUUCUUUUAUACAAUAUCCAAAGUCUUGCCUCUAAUACAAAAUCUUUUUCCGUAGGGUUGGUGCUGAAUAUCUUGGUUUGGAAUUUUUAAAGAGGAUUAUUGAACAAGACGACCCCAAAACGAAAUGAACAACACUAAUCUAUUUGUUAGUGGUUACUUAGACUAAUUAAGUAAAAUAAUGAAUAUUCGUUAAUAUACUAGACAAGACAAGCAAGUCAAGUACUUUGCACUACAGACCAAAGCAAAGACUCGUGUAGCUUUUGUUAUGUUUGGAGACUUUUUACAUUAUCUCUAUUAUUUUUUUUAUUCCGACCACAUGACGUGCUACUAUGCAUGAAUAAAUAUCAUUUGAGAACAAGCAAGCCUCAUUGACUUCUUACACCAAAUACUAAAUACAUUUCUUGCUCGUUUGUGAUUUCUUGUUUAGGAAGGACUUUUGUUUAUUAGCGCUUUUAUUAUAAAAUAUUAAAAAUUUUAUAAGAAAUUUCAGUGCUUUCUAGAAAAUCAUUUUGAAGUGAUUCAUGAAGAAGCUCAUAGCAAAUGCUUCUCCAUAAAGUGCUUUUAUGACCCAUAAGUGCUUUUAUUUAUUUUUAAUUUUAUCAAACGUUGUUGUUGUCACCAAAAAUGUGUCGUUUUAAAUUUAUAAAUACUUGCAAGCACACGAAUCGGAUAUAGUAUAGAUGUGUAA
rnacentral:lncRNA from 1 species